UACGGAGGAUGCAAGCGUUAUCCGGAGUGAUUGGGCGUAAAGCGUCCGCAGGUGGCUAUGUAAGUCUGCUGUUAAAGAGUGAGGCUCAACCUCAUAAGAGCAGUGGAAACUACAUGGCUAGAGUGCGUUCGGGGCAGAGGGAAUUCCUGGUGUAGCGGUGAAAUGCGUAGAUAUCAGGAAGAACACCGGUGGCGAAAGCGCUCUGCUAGGCCGCAACUGACACUGAGGGACGAAAGCUAGGGGAGCGAAUGGG
rnacentral:rRNA from 1 species